GGUGAACGCUGGCGGCGUGCUUAAGACAUGCAAGUCGAACGCAGUCUUCGGACUGAGUGGCGCACGGGUGAGUAACACGUAACUGACCUACCCCCAAGUCGCGGAUAACUGGCCGAAAGGUCAGCUAAUACGUGAUGUGAUGUCCCCUUUCUGGGGGGCCAUUAAAGGUUUACUGCUUGGGGAUGGGGUUGCGUUCCAUCAGCUAGUUGGCGGGGUAAAGGCCCACCAAGGCAACGACGGAUAGCCGGCCUGAGAGGGUGGCCGGCCACAGGGGCACUGAGACACGGGUCCCACUCCUACGGGAGGAAGCAGUUAGGAAUCUUCCACAAUGGGCGAAAGCCUGAUGGAGCGACGCCGCGUGAGGGAUGAGGGUUCUCGGAUCGUAAACCUCUGAAUCAGGGACGAAAGACGCGUAAGCGGGAUGACGGUACCUGAGUAAUAGCACCGGCUAACUCCGUGCCAGCCGCCGCAGUAA
rnacentral:rRNA from 1 species